GGAGAAAUGGCAGAGCCUGGUUGAAUGCGGUAGACUCGAAAUCUAUUGUGCCCGCAAGGGCACCGGGGGUUCGAAUCCCUCUUUCUCCG
rnacentral:tRNA from 1 species